ACACAUGCAAGUCGAGGGGCAGCAUGAUUGAAGCUUGCUUCAAUUGAUGGCGACCGGCGCACGGGUGAGUAACGCGUAUCCAACCUUCCGUACACUCAGGGAUAGCCUUUCGAAAGAAAGAUUAAUACCUGAUGGUAUGAUGAGAUUGCAUGAUAGCAUCAUUAAAGAUUUAUCGGUGUACGAUGGGGAUGCGUUCCAUUAGGUAGUAGGCGGGGUAACGGCCCACCUAGCCGACGAUGGAUAGGGGUUCUGAGAGGAAGGUCCCCCACAUUGGAACUGAGACACGGUCCAAACUCCUACGGGAGGCAGCAGUGAGGAAUAUUGGUCAAUGGACGAGAGUCUGAACCAGCCAAGUAGCGUGAAGGAUGAAGGUCCUACGGAUUGUAAACUUCUUUUAUAAGGGAAUAAAACCUCCCACGUGUGGGAGCUUGUAUGUACCUUAUGAAUAAGCAUCGGCUAACUCCGUGCCAGCAGCCGCGGUAAUACGGAGGAUGCGAGCGUUAUCCGGAUUUAUUGGGUUUAAAGGGAGCGCAGACGGGUCGUUAAGUCAGCUGUGAAAGUUUGGGGCUCAACCUUAAAAUUGCAGUUGAUACUGGCGUCCUUGAGUGCGGUUGAGGUGUGCGGAAUUCGUGGUGUAGCGGUGAAAUGCUCAGAUAUCACGAAGAACUCCGAUUGCGAAGGCAGCACACUAAGCCGUAACUGACGUUCAUGCUCGAAAGUGUGGGUAUCAAACAGGAUUAGAUACCCUGGUAGUCCACACGGUAAACGAUGGAUACUCGCUGUUGGCGAUAUACAGUCA
rnacentral:rRNA from 1 species